rnacentral:rRNA from 1 species
UACGUAGGGUGCAAGCGUUGUCCGGAAUUAUUGGGCGUAAAGAGCUCGUAGGCGGUUUGUUGCGUCGGCUGUGAAAUCCCGAGGCUCAACCUCGGGUCUGCAGUCGAUACGAGCAAACUAGAGUGUUGCAGGGGAGACUGGAAUUCCGGGUGGAGUGGUGAAAUGCGUAGAGAUCCGGAGGAACACCAGAGGCGAAGGCGGCCUACUGGGCUGCACCUGACGCUGAGCCGCGAAAGCCAGGGGAGCGAACGGG